rnacentral:rRNA from 1 species
GAUCAUGGCUCAGGAUGAACGCUAGCUACAGGCUUAACACAUGCAAGUCGAGGGGCAGCAUGGUCUUAGCUUGCUAAGGCUGAUGGCGACCGGCGCACGGGUGAGUAACACGUAUCCAACCUGCCGUCUACUCUUGGCCAGCCUUCUGAAAGGAAGAUUAAUUCCGAGGAGUGGGAUCAUGAGUUCACUAUCGUCCGCAUGUAAGUUUAAAAGGUUACUUUUCCGGUAGACGAGUGGGG